rnacentral:rRNA from 1 species
CCUACGGGUGGCAGCAGUGGGGAAUAUUGCACAAUGGCGGAAACCCUGAUGCAGCGACGUCGCGUGAGUGAUGACGUAUCUCGGUAUGUAAAGCUCUAUCUGCAGGGAAGAAGAAAGACGGUACCUGACUAAGAAGCCCCGGCUAACUACGUGCCAGCAGCCGCGGUAAUACGGAGGGGGCAAGCGUUUUCCGGAUAUACUGGGUGUAAAGGGAGCGUAGACGGGUGUGCAAGUCUGAAGUGAAAGCCCAGGGCUCAACCCUGGUACUGCUUUGGAAACUGUGGUGCUAGAGUGCUGGAGAGGUAAGUGGAAUGCCUGGUGUAGCGGUGAAAUGCAUAGAUAUUAGGAAGAACACCAGUGGCGAAGGCAGCUUACUGGAGAGCAACUGACGUUCAGGCACGAAAGCGUGGGUAGCGAACAGGAUUAGAUACCCGGGUAGUC